GAUGAACGCUGGCGGCGUGCCUAAUACAUGCAAGUCGAGCGAACGGACGAGAAGCUUGCUUCUCUGAUGUUAGCGGCGGACGGGUGAGUAACACGUGGAUAACCUACCUAUAAGACUGGGAUAACUUCGGGAAACCGGAGCUAAUACCGGAUAAUAUUUUGAACCGCAUGGUUCAAAAGUGAAAGACGGUCUUGCUGUCACUUAUAGAUGGAUCCGCGCUGCAUUAGCUAGUUGGUAAGGUAACGGCUUACCAAGGCAACGAUGCAUAGCCGACCUGAGAGGGUGAUCGGCCACACUGGAACUGAGACACGGUCCAGACUCCUACGGGAGGCAGCAGUAGGGAAUCUUCCGCAAUGGGCGAAAGCCUGACGGAGCAAUGCCGCGUGAGUGAUGAAGGUCUUCGGAUCGUAAAACUCUGUUAUUAGGGAAGAACAUAUGUGUAAGUAACUGUGCACAUCUUGACGGUACCUAAUCAGAAGGCCACGGCUAACUACGUG
rnacentral:rRNA from 1 species